rnacentral:tRNA from 1 species
GUGGCUAUAGUAUAGUGGUCAGUACGUAUCGUUGUGGAUUUGGCGUAGCCAACCGCGACAGUCUCCGAUGAGACGCCGGUUCGAUUCCGGCUAGCCACAA